rnacentral:rRNA from 1 species
GCAGGCUGCAACUCGCCUGCAUGAAGUUGGAAUUGCUAGUAAUCGCGAAUCAGAAUGUCGCGGUGAAUACGUUCCCGGGCCUUGUACACACCGCCCGUCACACCAUGAGAGUCGAUAACACCCGAAGCCUGUGAGCUAACCUUUCAGGAGGCAGCAGUCGAAGGUGGGGUUGAUGAUUGGGGUGAAGUCGUAACAAGGUAUC